UCUUAUCAAGAGCGGCGGAGGGACCGGCCCUAUGAAGCCCGGCAACCUGCAAGAUUUCGCAAGGUGCCAAUUCCGGCAGCGCAUCGCGCUGAAAGAUGAGA
rnacentral:ncRNA from 1 species